AAUAUUGCACAAUGGGCGCAAGCCUGAUGCAGCGACGCCGCGUGGAGGAUGAAGGCCNNNGGGUCNUCAACUCCUGUCUGGGGNGAUNAAAACUGACAGUACCCCCGGAGGAAGCCCCGGCUAACUACGUGCCAGCAGCCGCGGUAAUACGUAGGGGGCGAGCGUUGUCCGGAAUUACUGGGCGUAAAGCGCGCGCAGGCGGCUUGUUAAGUCAGGUGUCAAAAUGCGGGGCUCAACCCCGUAUCGCACUUGAAACUGGCAGGCUUGAGUGCAGGAGAGGGAAGUGGAAUUCCUAGUGUAGCGGUGAAAUGCGUAGAUAUUAGGAGGAACACCAGUGGCGAAGGCGACUUCCUGGACUGUAACUGACGCUGAGGCGCGAAAGCUAGGGGAGCAAAC
rnacentral:rRNA from 1 species